GAUGAACGCUGGCGGCGUGCCUAAUACAUGCAAGUCGAGCGCAGGAAACUGACGGAACUCUUCGGAGGGAAGGCAGUGGAAUGAGCGGCGGACGGGUGAGUAACACGUAAGGAACCUGCCUCAAGGAUUGGGAUAACUCCGAGAAAUCGGAGCUAAUACCGGAUAGUUCAACGGACCGCAUGGUCCGCUGAUGAAAGGCGCUCCGGCGUCACCUUGAGAUGGCCUUGCGGUGCAUUAGCUAGUUGGUGGGGUAACGGCCCACCAAGGCGACGAUGCAUAGCCGACCUGAGAGGGUGAUCGGCCACACUGGGACUGAGACACGGCCCAGACUCCUACGGGAGGCAGCAGUAGGGAAUCUUCCACAAUGGCGAAAGUCUGAUGGAGCAACGCCGCGUGAGUGAUGAAGGUUUUCGGAUCGUAAAACUCUGUUGUAAGGGAAGAACACGUACGAGAGGGAAUGCUCGUACCUUGACGGUACCUUACGAGAAAGCCACGGCUAACUACGUGCCAGCCGCCGCCGUAA
rnacentral:rRNA from 1 species